rnacentral:rRNA from 1 species
UACGUAGGCUGCAAGCGUUAAUCGGAAUUACUGGGCGUAAAGCGUGCGCAGGCGGUUAUGUAAGACAGAUGUGAAAUGCCCGGGCUUAACCUGGGAACUGCAUUUGUGACUGCAUGGCUAGAGUUUGGCAGAGGGGGGUAGAAUUCCACGUGUAGCAGUGAAAUGCGUAGAUAUGUGGAGGAACACCGAUGGCGAAGGCAGCCCCCUGGGUCAAGACUGACGCUCAUGCACGAAAGCGUGGGGAGCAAACAGG